rnacentral:rRNA from 1 species
CGGGGUGAGUAAUGUCUGGGAAACUGCCUGAUGAGGGGGAGUAACUACUGGAAACGGUAGCUAAUACCGCAUAACGUCGCAAGACCAAAUGGGGGACCUUCGGGCCUCAUGCCAUAAGAUGUGCCCAGAUGGGAUUAGCUAGUAGGUGGGGUAACGGCUCACCUAGGCGACGAUCCCUAGCUGGUCUGAGAGGAUGACCAGCCACACUGGAACUGAGACACGGUCCAG